rnacentral:rRNA from 1 species
GACGAACGCUGGCGGCGUGCUUAACACAUGCAAGUCGAACGGAAAGGUCCUGCCUUUGUGGGGUCCUCGAGUUGCGACCGGGUGAGUUACACGUGAGUAACCUGUCCCUGACUUAGGGAUAACUUCAGGAAACUGAGGGUCAUACCGGAUAGGAGCUCUCGCUGCUUGGUGGGGGUUGGAUAGUUUCGGCGGUUGGGGAUGGACUCGCGGCUUAUCAGCUUGUUGCUGGGGUAGUGUCUUACCAAGGCUUUGACCAGUAGCCGGCCUGCGAGGGUGACCCGCUACACUGGACCUGAGAUACGACCCGGACUCCUACGGGAGGGAGGAGUGGAGAAUAGAGCACAAUGGGCGGAAGGAUGGUGUGACCACGCCGUGUGCGGGAUGACGGCAUGCGGGUUGUAAACCACUUUCGCUUGAGACGAAGCGUGAGUGACGGUAAUGGGUAAAGAAGCUCCGGCUAACUACGUG